GAAUAUUACCCUUUCUGAAUGCAUCCUGUGGAUAUUUUUUUUACGGUUGGCCAGAUUGAACGUCACUGCCAGUUUGUAAUUUGUGUCCGAGGGAUAAACCACGUCGAAUUAUGAGAAAAAAAAUUAAAUAUAAUAAUGCCUCGAACAUAUAAAAAACGAUUGGGUUCCCGAGCAUAUCGAAACUACUCCAGUAAAGUUAUAAAUCGGGCUAUGACAGAAGUGGUCGAAGGCAUGCUAUCGAUACGCCAAGCAUCCGAAUAUAAUGGUAUUGUUGGUAAAGUUUGAUAGCUUUUUACUGUUCAAUUAUGCUUCUAAACAAAAUUAACUAAAAUAUGAGACUGUUUAGAAAUAAAGUUGAUUCUUAUUAAAC